UCUGUCUAAAUCUCGUUUCUUAUUUUAAAAAUUAAAAUGUAUGAUAAAAUGUAUAAUAAAAUGUAUCAAUGGAAAACAAAAAAAUAGAAAAAUUUUAGAAAAAAAAAUAGAGGAAAUCUUUAGGAUGAAGACCAGGCAAAGAGUUAUUAGGCUUGAUGCCAAAAGGAAAAUGUAUAAAUUGGGCCUCAUCAAAAUCUUAGAACGUUUGCUCUGUGAAAGACCCU
rnacentral:lncRNA from 1 species